rnacentral:rRNA from 1 species
GGGUUGUGAGGUUAAGCGACUAAGCGUACACGGUGGAUGCCCUGGCAGUCAGAGGCGAUGAAGGACGUGCUAAUCUGCGAUAAGCGUCGGUAAGGUGAUAUGAACCGUUAUAACCGGCGAUUUCCGAAUGGGGAAACCCAGUGUGUUUCGACACACUAUCAUUAACUGAAUCCAUAGGUUAAUGAGGCGAACCGGGGGAACUGAAACAUCUAAGUACCCCGAGGAAAAGAAAUCAACCGAGAUUCCCCCAGUAGCGGCGAGCGAACGGGGAGGAGCCCAGAGCCUGAAUCAGUGUGUGUGUUAGUGGAAGCGUCUGGAAAGGCGCGCGAUACAGGGUGACAGCCCCGUACACAAAAAUGCACAUGCUGUGAGCUCGAUGAGUAGGGCGGGACACGUGGUAUCCUGUCUGAAUAUGGGGGGACCAUCCUCCAAGGCUAAAUACUCCUGACUGACCGAUAGUGAACCAGUACCGUGAGGGAAAGGCGAAAAGAACCCCGGCGAGGGGAGUGAAAAAGAACCUGAAACCGUGUACGUACAAGCAGUGGGAGCCUCUUUUAUGGGGUGACUGCGUACCUUUUGUAUAAUGGGUCAGCGACUUAUAUUCUGUAGCAAGGUUAACCGAAUAGGGGAGCCGAAGGGAAACCGAGUCUUAACUGGGCGUUAAGUUGCAGGGUAUAGACCCGAAACCCGGUGAUCUAGCCAUGGGCAGGUUGAAGGUUGGGUAACACUAACUGGAGGACCGAACCGACUAAUGUUGAAAAAUUAGCGGAUGACUUGUGGCUGGGGGUGAAAGGCCAAUCAAACCGGGAGAUAGCUGGUUCUCCCCGAAAGCUAUUUAGGUAGCGCCUCGUGAAUUCAUCUCCGGGGGUAGAGCACUGUUUCGGCAAGGGGGUCAUCCCGACUUACCAACCCGAUGCAAACUGCGAAUACCGGAGAAUGUUAUCACGGGAGACACACGGCGGGUGCUAACGUCCGUCGUGAAGAGGGAAACAACCCAGACCGCCAGCUAAGGUCCCAAAGUCAUGGUUAAGUGGGAAACGAUGUGGGAAGGCCCAGACAGCCAGGAUGUUGGCUUAGAAGCAGCCAUCAUUUAAAGAAAGCGUAAUAGCUCACUGGUCGAGUCGGCCUGCGCGGAAGAUGUAACGGGGCUAAACCAUGCACCGAAGCUGCGGCAGCGACGCUUAUGCGUUGUUGGGUAGGGGAGCGUUCUGUAAGCCUGCGAAGGUGUACUGUGAGGUAUGCUGGAGGUAUCAGAAGUGCGAAUGCUGACAUAAGUAACGAUAAAGCGGGUGAAAAGCCCGCUCGCUGGAAGACCAAGGGUUCCUGUCCAACGUUAAUCGGGGCAGGGUGAGUCGACCCCUAAGGCGAGGCCGAAAGGCGUAGUCGAUGGGAAACAGGUUAAUAUUCCUGUACUUGGUGUUACUGCGAAGGGGGGACGGAGAAGGCUAUGUUGGCCGGGCGACGGUUGUCCCGGUUUAAGCGUGUAGGCUGGUUUUCCAGGCAAAUCCGGAAAAUCAAGGCUGAGGCGUGAUGACGAGGCACUACGGUGCUGAAGCAACAAAUGCCCUGCUUCCAGGAAAAGCCUCUAAGCAUCAGGUAACAUCAAAUCGUACCCCAAACCGACACAGGUGGUCAGGUAGAGAAUACCAAGGCGCUUGAGAGAACUCGGGUGAAGGAACUAGGCAAAAUGGUGCCGUAACUUCGGGAGAAGGCACGCUGAUAUGUAGGUGAAGUCCCUCGCGGAUGGAGCUGAAAUCAGUCGAAGAUACCAGCUGGCUGCAACUGUUUAUUAAAAACACAGCACUGUGCAAACACGAAAGUGGACGUAUACGGUGUGACGCCUGCCCGGUGCCGGAAGGUUAAUUGAUGGGGUUAGCGCAAGCGAAGCUCUUGAUCGAAGCCCCGGUAAACGGCGGCCGUAACUAUAACGGUCCUAAGGUAGCGAAAUUCCUUGUCGGGUAAGUUCCGACCUGCACGAAUGGCGUAAUGAUGGCCAGGCUGUCUCCACCCGAGACUCAGUGAAAUUGAACUCGCUGUGAAGAUGCAGUGUACCCGCGGCAAGACGGAAAGACCCCGUGAACCUUUACUAUAGCUUGACACUGAACAUUGAGCCUUGAUGUGUAGGAUAGGUGGGAGGCUUAGAAGUGUGGACGCCAGUCUGCAUGGAGCCGACCUUGAAAUACCACCCUUUAAUGUUUGAUGUUCUAACGUUGACCCGUAAUCCGGGUUGCGGACAGUGUCUGGUGGGUAGUUUGACUGGGGCGGUCUCCUCCUAAAGAGUAACGGAGGAGCACGAAGGUUGGCUAAUCCUGGUCGGACAUCAGGAGGUUAGUGCAAUGGCAUAAGCCAGCUUGACUGCGAGCGUGACGGCGCGAGCAGGUGCGAAAGCAGGUCAUAGUGAUCCGGUGGUUCUGAAUGGAAGGGCCAUCGCUCAACGGAUAAAAGGUACUCCGGGGAUAACAGGCUGAUACCGCCCAAGAGUUCAUAUCGACGGCGGUGUUUGGCACCUCGAUGUCGGCUCAUCACAUCCUGGGGCUGAAGUAGGUCCCAAGGGUAUGGCUGUUCGCCAUUUAAAGUGGUACGCGAGCUGGGUUUAGAACGUCGUGAGACAGUUCGGUCCCUAUCUGCCGUGGGCGCUGGAGAACUGAGGGGGGCUGCUCCUAGUACGAGAGGACCGGAGUGGACGCAUCACUGGUGUUCGGGUUGUCAUGCCAAUGGCACUGCCCGGUAGCUAAAUGCGGAAGAGAUAAGUGCUGAAAGCAUCUAAGCACGAAACUUGCCCCGAGAUGAGUUCUCCCUGACUCCUUGAGAGUCCUGAAGGAACGUUGAAGACGACGACGUUGAUAGGCCGGGUGUGUAAGCGCAGCGAUGCGUUGAGCUAACCGGUACUAAUGAACCGUGAGGCUUAACCUUACAACGCCGAAG